AGAAGCUCCAUCUUUACAAUCAUGAGGUGAUAUCAGUGCAAAAGGCCGGAGAAUCUCAAUGCAAUUAAAGAAGUGGUAUGAAAACAACAUUUUGGCCCCUCGGCGGGAGGGCCCCUCUCGCGGGGGAAAAACAAAACCAGAAGGUGAGUGCUGGUAAAAGCCUUCCCUCGUCUUCAGCUGUGAUUGACACCAAAGAGCAAAUAGGACAUAGUUAGAAUGCUUUGGUGUUUUUUUUUUUGUUUUAAUUUUUUUUAACACCCUUUUUGCCAAAAGGAAGAAAAAAAAAACUUGAACCUAAAGAAAAAAGAGCUGGAGACGCUUGAGUCCAGUAAACAAGCACCUGCACUGCUCCAUAAGCCCCUGCACCAAACUGACUUUAACUGUGAAGGUUUACUUUCUAUUUCCAACUUUCUGCCGCUAACGCAGCAUAAUCAGACCCCCCUUAAGUUCCAGUUCUUCUGUGUGUUUGCAGAAAGGCAGAUAAAAAUAGCUCCAUGUGGGCCAAAAGAGAAGGCAUGACACCGAUUGCGACACAUGUUAUUUUGUCCGCAUGGAAGGAUUGUGUGAAAGGCGGGAGGAGAAUCCAACAGAGGAGAGAAGGGGCCAAACUCCAGGAGCUCGCAGCCUCUUUGCUCCAAACUGACAGCAGGCUGGAGCCCCUGCUGAGGAGAGUGGAUCCAGUUAUACAAAUCCCUGCUUUUACCUUUGGAUGUGUUGGAUUGGGGUGGGAGUGGAGUGGAGGGGACGCUCCCGCUGAAGCACGUGGCCUAGCUCGCCUCAGACUCAGAGUGGCUGUGAGAAGAGUCAAAAGUCUAAGCGGUGUCCACCCCCAAAUUAGAGAAGUCUGUAGGUUUUUGCCGUGAUUCAUCUCAUUUAUGUGAUUCUUUUGACUCGCACGACUAACAACUUCAAUGUGCACAAAGUUCACACGCCUCAAAGACGUCCGACGAGUCUCAGAGUUCAGUGGGAGUUUGUGACGCCGUCGUCGGGAACAUGCCAGCUGUGAGAUUAACCGUGGGUGGUAUGGAAGAGCACAUGCCGACUGGCACAGUCUUCACGGACGGACUCCACGUGCACGCGCGCGCCGGAUGCAGCCAUGUGCACUGGGUCACGCUGAGUCAAGUCCUUGCAGUCAUUCCUGGGCAAGACGAGACACGCGUGUGUUUUUAGUGGCAUGCACAUCAGAAUGCGCCUCAGCGGGCUGAGCUACGUAAACAAACCCAUGACUUGCGCUCUUGUGCGAGUGCCGGCUCAUCUCAUACGACCAGCACAGGCUGCGUUGACAUUUGUGGGAGGUGUAGAGGCAAAAACCACACCGCCGCACAAAACGCUCCUUGAUUACAUCCUGAAAUCUCCUGUAGGACUGAGAACAGAGGGAAGAUCAAUCGGCUUCCCUCAAAUCCACAAGAUUAAGGUCUCGCCACAAUUUGGAAUAAGAAGCUUCCCUGUAAGAGACUUUAGGGACUUAAUGAAUUCAACUGGGGAUGGUCUUAAGCCCCAGAUAGUCACCACAAGGUCUACGAAAAAGGGGGACAUCCAGUCCACGGGGGGAUAUAACCCAGUAAGUCUGCUUUGAUUCAAACUCAACCAACGGACUUGUAGAUUUCCACCAGGAAAUUGUCUUUCCCAAAUGAUCAUUCAUUCAUAGAGUGGCCUAUAUUUAUUGCUAAUCUGUUAAUCACUUCAUGGUUGUCCUGUCGAACUGUUUUGAUCAGAUUUUAGAAAAGCAAAAACGAAUGACUUUGAGGAGACACAAUCUGUGUAAGAUCUCAAAAUCAACCUUUAUGCUCAGAAGCUAAUAAUGAUGGUCAUUCAUGAACAUUUCUUUACAAUUUUUAAGGUUUUUACUGAAACCAGAAGAUAAGUCUGUAAUAAAAGAUGAAUGUUUCAGAAAUUCUUGGAAA